AUUGAACGCUGGCGGCAGGCCUAACACAUGCAAGUCGAAUGGUAACAGGAAACAGCUUGCUGUUUCGCUGACGAGUGGCGGACGGGUGAGUAAUGUCUGGGAAACUGCCUGAUGGAGGGGGAUAACUACUGGAAACGGUAGCUAAUACCGCAUAACGUCGCAAGACCAAAGAGGGGGACCUUCGGGCCUCUUGCCAUCAGAUGUGCCCAGAUGGGAUUAGCUAGUAGGUGGGGUAACGGCUCACCUAGUCGACGAUCCCUAGCUGGUCUGAGAGGAUGACCGCCCACACUGGAACUGAGAUACGGUCCAGACUCCUACGGGAGGCAGCAGUGGGGAAUAUUGCGCAAUGGGCGCAAGCCUGAUGCAGCCAUGCCGCGUGUAUGAAGAAGGCCUUCGGGUUGUAAAGUACUUUCAGCGGGGAGGAAGGGAGUAAAGUUAAUACCUGUGCUCAUUGACGUUACCCGCAGAAGAAGCACCGGCUAACUCCGUG
rnacentral:rRNA from 1 species